rnacentral:rRNA from 1 species
AGUCUGGUGCCAGCACCCGCGGUAAUUCCAGCUCCAAUAGUGUAUAUUAUGGUUGCUGUAGUUAAAACGCUCGUAGUUGGAUUUCGGAAUGCGUUCGACCAAAGCCCGUCUCAAUGGCGUGGCUCGGUGGGUGCUUCCAUCACUUUUAGGCUUAACGGGCGUCAGUCCUUCGGGGUUGGCGUUUUCGUUCCUAAUCGUUUACUGUGAACAAAUUAGAGCGUUCAAAGCAGGUGUCUCUGCCUUGAAUAGUUUAGCAUGGGAUAAUAGAAUAGGACCUUUCCGGUUUUAUUUUGUUGGUUUCUAAAGCUGGGGUAAUGAUUAAUAGGGACAGUUGGGGUCGGUCGUAUUGAAUCGUCAGAGGUGAAAUUCUAGGAUUGAUUCAAGACGAACUGAUGCGAAAGCGUCCGACAAGGAUGUUUCCGUUAAUCAAGAACGAAAGUUGGGGGAUCGAAGAUGAUCAGAUACCGUCGUAGUCCUAACCCUAAACGAUGUGGACCAAGGAUCCGAGGAUGUUACAUGGAUGACUCUCCGGGCACUUUGUGAGAAAUCAUUGAGUAUUUGCACUCCGGGGGGAGUAUGGCCGCAAGACUGAAACUUAAAGGAAUUGACGGAAGGGCACCACCAGGAGUGGAACCUGCGGCUUAAUUCGACCCAACACGGGAAACUUCACCAGGUCCGGACACAGUAAGGAUUGACAGAUUGAGAGCUCUUUCUUGAUUCUGUGAGUGGUGGUGCAUGGCCGUUUUUAGUUGGUGGAUUGAUUUGUCUUGUUAAUUCAGAUAACGAGCGAGACCUCAUCCUGCUAAUUAGUGAUGCGAACGUGGGUAGACCUUCGGGUUUAUCCUCCUUGUUCGUACGCAACUUCUUAGAGGGACUCUCGGCGUCUUUAGCCGAUGGAAGUCUGAGGCAAAAACAGGUCUGUAAUGCCCUUCGAUGUCCUGGGCUGCACGCGCGUUACACUGGCAGUUGCAACGAGUGACUUCCUGCCUCGGAAGGGGUGGGUAAACUUCGUAGGGGCUGCCGUGAUUGGGAUUGAUCCUUGCAAUUAUUGAUCAUGGACGAGGAAUUCCUAGUAAGCGCAGUUCAUCAGACUGCGCUGAUUACGUCCCUGCCCUUUGUACACACCGCCCGUCGCUUGUACCGAUUGAAUGGUCCGGUGAGGACUUAGGAUUAGUUCUUUUAGCUUCUCGCAAGGGAGGCGGGGGACUGAGAGUUUGUU